rnacentral:misc_RNA from 1 species
UACAGAGGGUGCGAGCGUUAAUCGGAUUUACUGGGCGUAAAGCGCGCGUAGGUGGUUUGUUUGGUUGGAUGUGAAAGCCCCGGGCUCAACCUGGGAACUGCAUCCAAAACUGGCAAGCUAGAGUACGGUAGAGGGUGGUGGAAUUUCCUGUGUAGCGGUGAAAUGCGUAGAUAUAGGAAGGAACACCAGUGGCGAAGGCGAAUGCCUGGACUGAUACUGACACUGAGGUGCGAAAGCGUGGGUAGCAAACAGG